GGACCCGCACAAGCAGUGGAGCAUGUGGUUUAAUUCGAAGAUACGCGCAGAACCUUACCAACGCUUGACAUGUUCGUCGCGAGACUAAGAGAUUAGUUUCUUCAGUUCGGCUGGACGAAACACAGGUGCUGCAUGGCUGUCGUCAGCUCGUGUCGUGAGAUGUUGGGUUAAGUCCCGCAACGAGCGCAACCCCCUACUUUUAGUUGCCACCAUUUAGUUGGGCACUUUAAAAGAACUGCCAGUGAUAAGCUGGAGGAAGGUGGGGAUGACGUCAAGUCCUCAUGGCCCUUAUGUGUUGGGCUACACACGUGCUACAAUGGCACUUACAAUGGGAUGCAAAGAGGCGACUCUUAGCUAAUCCCUAAAAUGUACCUCAGUUCGGAUUGUACUCUGUAACUCGAGUGCAUGAAGCUGGAAUUGCUAGUAAUCGC
rnacentral:rRNA from 1 species